AACGUAGGAGACAAGCGUUAUCCGAAUUUACUGGGCGUAAAGCGCGUGCAGGUGGUUCGGCAAGUGGCAUGUGAAAUCUCCCGGCUCAACUGGGAGGGGCCGUGCCAAACUGCCGGGCUAGAGGGCGGUAGAGGGAGGUGGAAUUCCCGGUGUAGUGGUGAAAUGCGUAGAUAUCGGGAGGAACACCUGUGGCGAAAGCGGCCUCCUGGACCGUACCUGACGCUCAGACGCGAAAGCUAGGGGAGUGAACGGG
rnacentral:rRNA from 1 species